GAGAGGCCCGUGGCCAGGCUGGCGGAUUCCCGUGGAUAUUUUCGGCGUCCCAGUCGCACCGUUCUUCCCUCUGAACUUUUUCAAACUUCAUCAAAGGGGAACAAGCGGCGGGAGGAGGAGACAGGAACACAAGAAAAGAAAAAUGAUAAAAGAGUAGAAAGAGGGAGUCUUCCUAAUGACAUCCCCAUGAGGGAUCAGCUACAGAGUAUUUGGAAGCUUGACCAACGCAGACUGAAUGGCUUCUUUCACUUCCUCUGCUGCCAUUGCCAAUCUACAACCGUGGCACAAAAAGUGGGAAUGAGCCAUGUGCAACGCGUGUGUCAGCUUACACCUCCAGAAGUUGAAAUUCAACCAAAGAAAUCAAGCUCAAUGGGAGAAUUCCCAGACUGGGCACUGACGGGAGAUGAGAAUUGAGCAGAACCGCGUGGAAAGCACUCACACCCUCGGCUUUCGUUCUGGCUCUGGUUUCCACUUUCACACACCGCAAAGACCCCCUGAUCCGACCUGAGCUACCCACACUGCAGCAGAUUGGCUUCCCCGGCUGUCCGGGGCCAGGACGUGCGUUGCAGCGUGGGCAGGUGCCAACACCUGCUGGAAAAUGGAAUCAGCAUCUCCAUAAAGUGGACGCUGGACUUGAUGCGCUUUGGACCGACACCAGCAGAUGACACAGCUUCCUGAUUCAUCACUGAUUGUGGAAACUUCAAGUUGGACCUGAAGCAGCUUGGUUUCUCUUCACAGUCCAGGUGUUCUACAAAUUGGAGCAGAUGUGGGGUUGUGUGCAAAGGUUCGUGCGUACUCGAGGCAAACUCUACUGGGCACAUCCACACUAAGACGGUAUCCCUCCACCACCCCUGCGUUCCCCGUCUGUUCCUCCAUCCACGCUGCGUCACUUCGUUAUUGUGCGAGUCCGAGCCAGAGUGUAAGGCUACACCUCUGACCCGGGAGAGUCAGCAGUCUGGAGUUUUAGCAAGAGAAACAUUUCUCCGAAGAGCAGUGCUGAGUUUUGCCGCGAAGCCUCGUGGCAACGAUGGAAACCAAACAGGGAGCCAGGGUCAGCUUCCACCCGACAGCAGUUGUUCACGAGCUGGAAGGUUUUUUUGUUGUUGGUGCAUUUGCCAUUAAAGGAUUACCUUUUGAGAUCCACCUUGUGAAGAACUUGGCAGAAACAGUCGUACUCACUCCAUGAACUUCUUCUGGUUA